UAGCUCUGGUUUUUCUUCAAUCACGCAUAAAUCGCUCGCCUUUUACUAAAGGUUUCCAUGGAGAGGAACAUCAAUGAGUUUGAUGUAUUUUUGUGAGCUUUGCUUUGGCAACC